rnacentral:lncRNA from 1 species
AUUUCCUUUCAUCUUUCUUCCUUUUUUCCUUUCUUUCUUUCUUUUUUCUUUUCUUUUGACAAAAUCUUGAUUGUAGCCCUGGCCGCCCUGGAACUGACUACAUAGACCAGACUGGCCUGAAACUCACAGAGAUCCUCCUGCGUCUGCUUUCCAAGCACUGGGAUUAAAGGCGUGGACCAUCAUGCCUGCCUCCUCCUCUAUCAGAGGUGAAAUCAUUUCGACUGUGAUGGAGGCUGGAAAGACUUAAAGAUCACCAGGUCCCCACCAACCUCUGUAGCAGCCCUUGAAUUUGGUGCUCCAGCCUAUCCACUCCCUUUACGCUCCUCUCCUGCUCCCAAAAUGAAACCAAGUUUUGACAAUACUUAGACAACUGUCUCUGAGGUUUUGACUUGUGUGGUGGUCUAUUGAGAGCCAGGCCUGUCUGGGACCUCCCCUGAGGCCCUGGUAUAUGGAAAAGGAACUUCAUUUCUUGUCUAAAACCAGGAACCUGUCACUGAAGAAUAGCCUGCUGGUCCAGGUCAGUGAUUACAAGUGUAGGUGGUGCAGUCAGACUUGCAGAUUCCAGGACUGGUCCCCCCACUCUCCGGUAUGAUCCCAGGCAAGUUAUGUAACAUCCAUGUGCCUUUCCCUCCUCUUCUGAAAAACUACUACCUACCAUGACUUCUGGGACUAGCAGUGGGUCAGAGCAGAU